rnacentral:rRNA from 1 species
AGAACGAACGCUGGCGGCAUGCCUAAUACAUGCAAGUCGAACGAACUCUUCGGAGUUAGUGGCGCACGGGUGCGUAACGCGUGGGAAUCUGCCCCUUGGUUCGGAAUAACAGUUGGAAACGACUGCUAAUACCGGAUGAUGACGAAAGUCCAAAGAUUUAUCGCCAAGGGAUGAGCCCGCGUAGGAUUAGCUAGUUGGUGAGGUAAAGGCUCACCAAGGCAACGUAUCCUUAGCGUGGUCUGAGAGGAUGAUCAGCCACACGUGGGACUGAGACCACGGCCCAGACUCCGACGGGAGCCAGCAAGUAGGGAAUAGUUGGAACAAGUGGGCGACAAGCCUAGGAACUCCAAGGUCCAGUACCCGGCGGUGGGUA